UUGACCUCGAUCAGUAGAUCCAA
rnacentral:rRNA from 1 species